UCUCACAGCUGAAAUAGAAAAGCCGCCAGGGUGGUAGAUUUUGUGAUCAUUUCGUAACAUGUGCAACAAUGUUCUCCUACUAGCAAGUGUCUUGCUUCAGCUUCAGUAGACUAAGAUCAUGUGUUUACAAUUUUGUACUUGUACACUUUUUGUUCAAAAACUAGAUACAAAUGAAUUAAUGAAAAAAUGGGCAGACUAUCAUACGAGCCUGGUGUUUUGCUUAGCACGCGCGUCGGACAUUGUACGAUUGUAUAUAAGAAUCACCUGUUUCAACUACUCUACCAAUACUUUCUCGCUAUGUAUACACAACACCGAUACACUCAGACCAACAGUAGUAAAAUAGAUGCUAUUCAACUGAAUUGCCAGAAAAAAGCAGACUGAAAAAACGAAAUAUUUUUUUUUACCAAACUAAUCAUUCUGGCUAUUUUAGCUCAUAUAUUCAAAAUCUAAUAAGUUGAAUUAAGCCAUAGCUGAACGUUGGAGAGGCCUACAGUUAUAAUAAUCCAAAAGAUUAGCUGCAAAAUUACCAUAUUCCGGAUAGUAGCUUCUCACAUUAAUUAGCGUAAGACUGAAUCCACAAACAUUAAACUUCAAGUUGGAAAGCUUGAUAUUGGGAGGUCCCCCAGACGGGAUCAAUUUAUCGAUUUUUCAUCGUGACCAUCAAAUCCGAGCACAUUUCAGAAUACAUACCUAUGAAAUUGGAAGAACACGUUUCACUGAGCUCGAUAUCAAAUGUAAAACACACUAGAUUGCAGCAAAUAGUUCCAUUCAAACUGCAGCAAGAGCAGGACUUUGAACUGAACAAAAGAUGACAGCUGACUAAUCAUCUCCCCGUCUGUAGGCCUGGAGUAUUAUGAGAGGUGGGCACUCAAUUGAACGUAUAGUGGUGUGUGUUGGGGACAAUGUUAGGUAUGUUUUGUCAUAGGUUUUGAGCUGAAGAAAAUUUAUGCGACAAAAUAAGAAACUAGGAAUUGAGUCUGAAGAAUACAGAAGAAGCGGUAGCAGAUUCUAUUUCAGUGUUUGGAUGGCGUCCAAAACACUCACGUAACGAAGCGUUGUCGUGCUGUAAUUUUACUCAUGUCCCAUAUAUAAAGUGACCAUAUGACCAGAGGUCUAACGCGGGAC